AGGAGGAACAACCCCAGUGGCGGGGCCAGCUCUAGAGCCCUGGAGUCAGCUCCCACAGUAACUCCAGAGCUCUCUGUCUGCAGGGCCUGGAGGCUCCGGGGCGGG
rnacentral:pre_miRNA from 1 species